GACGAACGCUGGCGGCGUGCUUAACACAUGCAAGUCGAACGGAAAGGCCCUGCUUUUGUGGGGUGCUCGAGUGGCGAAGGGGUGAGUAACACGUGAGUAACCUGCCCCUGACUUUGGGAUAUCUUCAGGAAAAUGGGGCUAUUAUCGGAUAGGAGCUCCUGCUGCAUGGUGGGGGUUGGAAAGUUUCGGCGGUUGGGGAUGGACUCGCGGCUUAUCAGCUUGGUGGUGGGGUAGUGGCUUACCAAGGCUUUGACGGGUAGCCGGCCUGAGAGGGUGACCGGCCACAUUGGGACUGAGAUACGGCCCAGACUCCUACGGGAGGCAGCAGUGGGGAAUAUUGCACAAUGGGCGGAAGCCUGAUGCAGCAACGCCGCGUGCGGGAUGACGGCCUUCGGGUUGUAAACCGCUUUCGCCUGUGACGAAGCGUGAGUGACGGUAAUGGGUAAAGAAGCACCGGCUAACUACGUG
rnacentral:rRNA from 1 species